AGCGGCGCACGGGUGAGUAACACGUGGGUAAUCUACCUUUGGGUCUGGAACAACCCGGGGAAACCCGGGCUAAUGCCGGAUAAGACCACUUUUCACAUGUUUUGUGGGAAAAGCGGGGGACCUCCUCGGAGGCCUCGUGCCUAAAGAUGAGCCCGCGGCCCAUCAGCUAGUUGGCGGGGUAAUGGCCCACCAAGGCAAAGACGGGUAGCUGGUCUGAGAGGAUGAUCAGCCACACUGGAACUGAGACACGGUCCAGACUCCUACGGGAGGCAGCAGUGGGGAAUUUUGCGCAAUGGGCGCAAGCCUGACGCAGCAACGCCGCGUGAGUGAUGAAGGUCUUCGGAUCGUAAAGCUCUGUCGGUAGGAACGAUGCGUUCACUGGCUAACAUCCAGUGGACCUGACGGUACCUACAAAGGAAGCACCGGCUAACUCUGUGCCAGCAGCCGCGGUAAGACAGAGGGUGCAAGCGUUGUUCGGAAUUAUUGGGCGUAAAGCGCGCGUAGGCGGUACGGUAAGUCGGAUGUGAAAUCCCUGGGCUCAACCGAGGAAGUGCAUCCGAAACUGCCGUGCUUGAGUGCCGGAGAGGGUGGUGGAAUUCCCAGUGUAGAGGUGAAAUUCGUAGAUAUUGGGAGGAACACCCGUGGCGAAGGCGACCACCUGGACGGACACUGACGCUGAGGUGCGAAAGCGUGGGGAGCA
rnacentral:rRNA from 1 species